AAGAAUUUAGGUUAAAUAGACCAAGAGCCUUCAAAGCCCUAAGUAAAUCACAAUCGAUUUAAUUCUUG
rnacentral:tRNA from 1 species